rnacentral:rRNA from 1 species
UACGGGGGGAGCAAGCGUUGUUCGGAUUUACUGGGCGUAAAGGGCGCGUAGGCGGUCAGCACAAGUCAGUUGUGAAAUCUCCGGGUUUAACUCGGAACGGUCAACUGAUACUGCGCGGCUAGAGUGCAGAAGGGGCAACUGGAAUUCUCGGUGUAGCGGUGAAAUGCGUAGAUAUCGAGAGGAACACCUGCGGCGAAGGCGGGUUGCUGGGCUGACACUGACGCUGAUGCGCGAAAGCCAGGGGAGCGAACGGG